CACAGAGGUCUCGAGCGUUAGGCGGAAUCACUGGGCUUAAAGCGUGUGUAGGCGGAUCGUUAAGUGCCUUGUGAAAUCCCACGGCUCAACCGUGGAACUGCUUGGCAUACUGGCGGUCUUGAGCAACCUAGGGGCGAGCGGAACAAAUGGUGGAGCGGUGAAAUGCGUAGAUAUCAUUUGGAACGCCAAUGGUGAAAACAGCUCGCUGGGGGUUUGCUGACGCUGAGACACGAAAGCCAGGGGAGCAAACGGG
rnacentral:rRNA from 1 species